CCUACGGGUGGCAGCAGUGAGGAAUAUUGGUCAAUGGGCGGGAGCCUGAACCAGCCAAGUCGCGUGAGGGACGACGGUCCUAUGGAUUGUAAACCUCUUUUGUCGGGGAACAAAGGCGCCCACGGGUGGGCGGAUGAGUGUACCCGAAGAAAAAGCAUCGGCUAACUCCGUGCCAGCAGCCGCGGUAAUACGGAGGGUGCGAGCGUUCUCCGGAUUUCUUGGGUUUAAAGGGGGCGUAGGCGGACAGUCAAGUCCGCGGUAAAAAUGCGGGGCUCAAAGGCGUGCAGCCGUUGAAACUGGCAGUCUUGAGUGGGUGAGAAGUAUGCGGAAUGCGUGGUGUAGCGAUGAAAUGCAUAGAUAUCACGCAGAACGCCGAUUGCGAAGGCAGCAUACCGGCGCCCGACUGACGCUGAGGCACGAAAGCGUGGGUAUCGAACAGGAUUAGAUACCCUGGUAGUC
rnacentral:rRNA from 1 species